UACGUAGGGCGCAAGCGUUGUCCGGAAUUAUUGGGCGUAAAGAGCUCGUAGGCGGUUUGUCGCGUCUGCUGUGAAAACUCGAGGCUCAACCUCGGGCUUGCAGUGGGUACGGGCAGACUAGAGUGCGGUAGGGGAGACUGGAAUUCCUGGUGUAGCGGUGGAAUGCGCAGAUAUCAGGAGGAACCCCGAUGGCGAAGGCAGGUCUCUGGGCCGCAACUGACGCUGAGGAGCGAAAGCAUGGGGAGCGAACAGG
rnacentral:rRNA from 1 species